rnacentral:rRNA from 1 species
UACGGGGGGGGCGAGCGUUGCUCGGAAUUAUUGGGCGUAAAGCGCACGUAGGCGGCUUUGCAAGUCGGAUGUGAAAUCCCUCGGCUUAACCAAGGAAGUGCAUCCGAAACUGCAGAGCUUGAGUACUUAAGAGGAUCGCGGAAUUCCCGGUGUAGAGGUGAAAUUCGUAGAUAUCGGGAGGAACACCAGUGGCGAAGGCGGCGAUCUGGGAAGAUACUGACGCUGAGGUGCGAAAGCGUGGGGAGCAAACAGG